rnacentral:rRNA from 1 species
GACGAACGCUGGCGGCGUGCCUAAUACAUGCAAGUAGAACGCACAGUUUAUACCGUAGCUUGCUACACCAUAAACUGUGAGUUGCGAACGGGUGAGUAACGCGUAGGUAACCUGCCUGGUAGCGGGUGAUAACUAUUGGAAACGAUAGCUAAUACCGCAUAAUAUUGAUUAUUGCAUGAUAAUUGAUUGAAAGAUGCUAUUGCAUCACUACCAGAUGGACCUGCGUUGUAUUAGCUAGUAGGUGAGGUAACGGCUCACCUAGGCGACGAUACAUAGCCGACCUGAGAGGGUGAUCGGCCACACUGGGACUGAGACACGGCCCAGACUCCUACGGGAGGCAGCAGUAGGGAAUCUUCGGCAAUGGACGAAAGUCUGACCGAGCAACGCCGCGUGAGUGAAGAAGGUUUUCGGAUCGUAAAGCUCUGUUGUAAGAGAAGAACGGGUGUGAGAGUGGAAAGUUCACACUGUGACGGUAUCUUACCGGAAAGGGACGGCUAACUACGUG